GGGCCCGUAGUAAAGUGGUAUUACGCCUCCUUUGCAAGGAGGAGUCAGGAGUUCAAUUCUCCUCGGGUCCA
rnacentral:tRNA from 1 species